UACAGAGGGUGCAAGCGUUAAUCGGAAUUACUGGGCGUAAAGCGUGCGUAGUCGGUUAUCUAAGUCGGGUGUGAAAUCCCCGGGCUCAACCUGGGAAUUGCAUUUGUGACUGCACGGCUAGAGUGUGUCAGAGGGGGGUAGAAUUCCACGUGUAGCAGUGAAAUGCGUAGAGAUGUGGAGGAAUACCGAUGGCGAAGGCAGCCCCCUGGGAUAACACUGACGCUCAUGCACGAAAGCGUGGGGAGCAAACAGG
rnacentral:rRNA from 1 species